GGUUAAGGAAGGAAGGGCGCACGGUGGAUGCCUUGGCACUAGGAGCCGAAGAAGGACGCGGCAAACGGCGAAACGCCUCGGGGAGCCGUAAGCAGGCGUAGAUCCGGGGAUUUCCGAAUGGGGGAACCCACCGUCCGUAAUGGGGCGGUAUCCAUGUCUGAAUCCAUAGGGCAUGGAGGGCAACCCGGGGAACUGAAACAUCUUAGUACCCGGAGGAGAAGAAAGCAACAGCGAUUCCCUGAGUAGCGGCGAGCGAAAGGGGAACAGCCCAAACCAAAGGGCUUUGCCCUUUGGGGUUGUAGGACACUCCAGAAGGAGUUACAAAAGAGCGGGGUAGGCGAAGCGGCCUGGAACGGCCCGUCGGAGAAGGUAAGAACCCUGUAGCCGAAACCCCGUUCUCUCCGGAGUGGAUCCUGAGUACGGCGGGACACGAGGAAUCCCGUCGGAAGCGGGGAGGACCAUCUCCCAAGGCUAAAUACUCCCUAGUGACCGAUAGUGAACCAGUACCGUGAGGGAAAGGUGAAAAGCACCCCGGGAGGGGAGUGAAAGAGAACCUGAAACCGUGUGCCUACAAGUAGUCAGAGUCCGAUGCACGGGAACGUGCCGGAUGAUGGCGUGCCUUUUGUAGAAUGAACCGGCGAGUUGCGAUGGCGUGCGAGGUUAAGGGGAAGACCCGGAGCCGCAGCGAAAGCGAGUCUGAAGAGGGCGCAGAGUACGUCGUCGCAGACCCGAAACCAGGUGAUCUACCCGUGUCCAGGGUGAAGGCAGGGUAACACCUGCUGGAGGCCCGAACCCACGUACGUUGAAAAGUGCGGGGAUGAGGUGCGGGUAGGGGUGAAAUGCCAAUCGAACCUGGAGAUAGCUGGUUCUCUCCGAAAUAGCUUUAGGGCUAGCCUCAAGCGGGAGAGUCUUGGAGGUAGAGCACUGUUUGGAUGAGGGGCCCGCCAAGGGUUACCGAGUUCAGAUAAACUCCGAAUGCCAAGACUUGCGCUUGGGAGUCAGACUGCGAGUGAUAAGAUCCGCAGUCGAGAGGGGAACAGCCCAGACCGCCAGUUAAGGUCCCAAAGUAUACGUUAAGUGGGAAAGGAUGUGGAGCUGCCGAGACAACCAGGAUGUUGGCUUAGAAGCAGCCAUCAUUCAAAGAGUGCGUAAUAGCUCACUGGUCGAGUGGCUCUGCGCCGAAAAUGUACCGGGGCUGAAACGUAUCACCGAAACUGCGGAUGGGCACGGAAGUGUCCAUGGUAGGAGAGCGUUCUAAACGCGGGGAAGCAAGACCGGGAGGACUUGUGGAGCGUUUAGAAGUGAGAAUGCCGGUAUGAGUAGCGAAAGAAGGGUGAGAAUCCCUUCCACCGAAAGCCUAAGGUUUCCUGAGGAAGGCUCGUCCGCUCAGGGUUAGUCGGGGCCUAAGCCGAGGCCGAAAGGCGUAGGCGAAGGGGAACAGGUGGAUAUUCCUGUACCACCCAGGAUCCGGUAUGAGCGAAGGGGGGACGCAGGAGGAUAGGGCAAGCGCGCGGCUGGAAGAGCGCGUCCAAGCAGCGAGGGUGGCGGAUAGGCAAAUCCGUCCGCC
rfam:Caldibacillus debilis strain B4135 NODE_148, whole genome shotgun sequence.